rnacentral:lncRNA from 1 species
GCACAUGAGGAAAUUUUGCUUUGUUACUGUCUCUAACAUCUUCUUUCCCUAGCGCCUCUCUCCCUUGCAAGAAGUCAGAGCCUCCAUGCUGCUGUGGGAUCCAUCAGGGAUCCCGUUACAGAGACCACCAUCAUCAAUUUCACAUGCUUACAAUCCCCCACAAACUCUCUACCGUUGACCUAUUUUAGAUCUUUUUCUUUCAAGUCCCUACUUUAAGUUAAUUAGGGUGAAUCUACUCCAAUAUGACUGACGUCCUUAUAAGAAGAAUAGAAGAGAGGUAGACAGAUAAAGUGAGAAUAUCAUGUGAUAGUAGCAGAGACUGGAGUGAUGCAGUUGCAAGCUAAGAAACACCCGGGACUGAAUGACACCACUAGAAGCCAGGAAAAGGCAGGUAAUACAUAUAGAGAUAUCUAUAGAAACAUGUAUAUACACGGACUAGUACACAGACAUAUUUCUGUGCUCUUUCAGCUGAGAUUGCCUAAAAGACCUGACACCCCAGCAGCAACAAGCACACCUCACAUCCAGAUCUUGGUUUUGGUUACCAUUCUCUAAUAAAAGGAAACAGAGCUCCUUGGAGAAAUGGUGAUUUAUGCUAGGAUUGGGUCAGGAAAUACACAAGAUCAGUCUGAAAGGGAUUGUAGAGCCAUAAAGGAAGAAAAUCCUUUUUUAAAAAGCACCCCACAUUGAUGGGGAGUACGUGAAAAGAAAAUAGGAGCCAACUGAAAAGAACUCCCACAGGCCAAAGAUGGAAUAAUUUGAGUAACAAAAUAAAAUAGUAUUGACUUAUAACCCAGAGUAUAAAAUAAAUGUCAAUAGAUUCAUACUGAUAUGAAUAAACAAUUGAAUAAAUAAAUAAAUGAAAGAGAAGAGCCAGAUCUCCUAUGCAGAAGAAUUUCGAAUAAUUUAUGUAAAUUUUUCCCUCCAGGAGAGAGAUCAUAACUCCAAACUUCUUAAGUGUGGGUUACACACAGUGACUUCCUUUUCUAAGAGUACAGUAUGGAGAAGAAUAAAAGACAUAACUUUAUAGUUAUCAGGGAAACCUGAUAACACCACCUCCCAGGUGAGUAAGGUCAAUAUCAGCAGUCACAUAUCAUGUUGAUUGUAUAAAUCAUUGAUAAUAUUAUAGAUAUGAUGUAAUGAGGAUAACCCUUUGCCUUUGUGGUCUUCAUUCCAAUAGCCCAUAACUCCAGUUUCACCAUGAGGAAAACACAAAACUAACUCCAAUAUUGGGAGAAUCUAUAAAAUACCUGGCCAGAACUCAAAACCUUCAAGGUCAUCAAAAACAAGGAAAGCCUGAGGAACUGUCACAGCCAAGAGGAACCUCAAAAUACAAGACAGCAAAAUGUACUGUGAUAUCUUGGAUGGGAUACUAGAACAGGGAAAGCAUGUCAGGUAAUAUCUAAGGAAAUGUACAUAAACUACUUAGGUGAACAGUUUUUCCCCAACCCCUUCUGUGAGAUUAUCUCAUACAUUUGUAAUGCAGUUAGAUUGUUGAGUCAGAGUCUGAAUUACUUCCUGGGAUUUCCUUGAUUUCCUAAAUGAUUUUAUAAAUUUGCAUGCAAUUAGAUUGACUCUUUGUACUGUAAAAUUCUGUACAUUUUGACAAAUGCACCAUUAAAGUAUUAUGCAGAAUAAUUACUAUUCUAAAAGUCCCCUGUGCCUCUUCUCUACACCCUUGAUUCUCUGGCAGCCACUGAUCAUUCCAUGUCUCUAUAAUUUUGUCUUUUACAGGAUGCUAUAAAAUUGGAAUCAUACAAUAUGUAGCCUUUCUGGACGAGCUUCU